rnacentral:rRNA from 1 species
CGCGUGCACUGGUCCGGCCGGGCCUUUCCCUCUGCGGAACCCCAUGCCCUUCACUGGGUGUGGCGGGGAAACAGGACUUUUACUUUGAAAAAAUUAGAGUGCUCAAGGCAGGCCUAUGCUCGAAUACAUUAGCAUGGAAUAAUAGAAUAGGACGUGUGGUUCUAUUUUGUUGGUUUCUAGGACCGGCGUAAUGAUUAAUAGGGACAGUCGGGGGCAUCAGUAUUCAAUUGUCAGAGGUGAAAUUCUUGGAUUUAUUGAAGACUAACUACUGCGAAAGCAUUUGCCAAGGAUGUUUUCAUUAAUCAGGAACGAAAGUUAGGGGAUCGAAGACGAUCAGAUACCGUCGUAGUCUUAACCAUAAACUAUGCCGACUAGGGAUCGGACGAUGUUACAUUUUUGACGCGUUCGGCACCUUACGAGAAAUCAAAGUGCUUGGGCUCCAGGGGGAGUAUGGUCGCAAGGCUGAAACUUAAAGAAAUUGACGGAAGGGCACCACCAGGGGUGGAGCCUGCGGCUUAAUUUGACUCAACACGGGGAAACUCACCAGGUCCAGACACAAUGAGGAUUGACAGAUUGAGAGCUCUUUCUUGAUUUUGUGGGUGGUGGUGCAUGGCCGUUCUUAGUUGGUGGAGUGAUUUGUCUGCUUAAUUGCGAUAACGAACGAGACCUUAACCUGCUAAAUAGCCCGUAUUGCUUUGGGCAGUACGCUGGCUUCUUAGAGGGACUAUCGG